CCUACGGGAGGCAGCAGUGAGGAAUAUUGGUCAAUGGACGAGAGUCUGAACCAGCCAAGUAGCGUGAAGGAUGACUGCCCUAUGGAUUGUAAACUUCUUUUAUAAAGGAAUAAAACGAGGCUCGUGUGCCUUUUUGCAUGUACUUUAUAAAUAAGGAUUGGCUAACUCCGUGCCCGCAGCCGCGGUAAUACGGAGGAUCCGAGCGUUAUCCGGAUUUAUUGGGUUUAAAGGGAGCGUAGAUGGGUUGUUAAGUCAGUUGUUAAAGUUUGCGGCUCAACCGUAAAAGUGCAAUUGAUACUGGCAGUCUUGAGUACAGUUGAGGUAGGCGGAAUGCGUGGUGUAGCGGUGAAAUGCUUAGAUAUCACGAAGAACCCCGAUUGCGAAGGCAGCUUACUAGACUGUGACUGACAUUGAUGCUCGAAAGUGUGGGUAUCAAACAGGAUUAGAUACCCUAGUAGUC
rnacentral:rRNA from 1 species